CAAUAGCGUAUAUUAAAGUUGUUGCAGUUAAAAAGCUCGUAGUUGGAUUUCUGGUAGGAGUGACCGUGCCAGACUUGAUUGUCUGUGUAUUGUGUUGUCUCCAGCCAUCCUUGUGGAGAACUUUUCUUGCAUUAAUUUGUAGGGAUUGGGACCCGCAUCGUUUACUGUGAAAAAAUUAGAGUGUUUAAAGCAGGCAAUCGCUUGAAUACAUUAGCAUGGAAUAAUACGAUAGGACUUUGGUACUAUUUUGUUGGUUUGCAUACCAAAUUAAUGAUCAACAGGAACAGUUUGAGGAUAUUCGUAUGAACAUGUCAGAGGUGAAAUUCUUGGAUUUUGAUCAGACGAACUACUGCGAAAGCAUUUAUCAAGGAUGUUUNCAUUA
rnacentral:rRNA from 1 species